UACGUAGGGUGCGAGCGUUGUCCGGAAUUACUGGGCGUAAAGAGCUCGUAGGUGGUUUGUCGCGUUGGUCGUGAAAUCUCACGGCUUAACUGUGAGCGUGCGGGCGAUACGGGCAGACUGGAGUACUGCAGGGGAGACUGGAAUUCCUGGUGUAGCGGUGGAAUGCGCAGAUAUCAGGAGGAACACCGGUGGCGAAGGCGGGUCUCUGGGCAGUAACUGACGCUGAGGAGCGAAAGCGUGGGGAGCGAACAGG
rnacentral:rRNA from 1 species